rnacentral:tRNA from 1 species
GCAGUGGUGGUUCAGUGGUAGAAUUCACACCUUCCAUCUGGGAGACCUGGAUUCAGCUCCCAGCCAAUGCA